rnacentral:rRNA from 1 species
GAUGAACGCUGGCGGCGUGCUUAACACAUGCAAGUCGAACGAUGAAGCCCAGCUUGCUGGGUGGAUUAGUGGCGAACGGGUGAGUAACACGUGAGUAACCUGCCCUUAACUCUGGGAUAAGCCUGGGAAACUGGGUCUAAUACCGGAUAGGAGCGUCCACCGCAUGGUGGGUGUUGGAAAGAUUUAUCGGUUUUGGAUGGACUCGCGGCCUAUCAGCUUGUUGGUGAGGUAAUGGCUCACCAAGGCGACGACGGGUAGCCGGCCUGAGAGGGUGACCGGCCACACUGGGACUGAGACACGGCCCAGACUCGUACGGGAGGCAGCAGUGGGGAAUAUUGCACAAUGGGCGCAAGCCUGAUGCAGCGACGCCGCGUGAGGGAUGACGGCCUUCGGGUUGUAAACCUCUUUCAGUAGGGAAGAAGCGAAAGUGACGGUACCUGCAGAAGAAGCACCGGCUAACUACGUG